rnacentral:tRNA from 1 species
GCUCCUGUAGCCCAACGGCAGAGGCAUACGACUUAGGAUCGUAACAGUCAGGGUUCAAAUCCCUGUGGGAGUACCA